UGGUUUUUGCUUUGUUAAUAGUUUUUCUACACUAAGGUAACUAAUUGCAUUUUCACAUUAAUGGGUAAAAUAAACCAUUUUAGUUGAUUAGAUUGGGAACAAAAGACCAAGUGACCUUGGUUACAGUAUUGGAGAAGGAAUUUUUAGGAACUCAGAAAAACAGAUUGAUGGGUGGUGUUCAGUCUGCUGACAUAAAUCAGAUAACUUAUUAAUACUUGGUUAUUUUCUACAGAUCUUUAAAGGUGACUUUUUUUUAAUAAAGGGUUGGCCCCUUAAUAAGCAAACAAAAAAUGUGUUCUACAUUGCUACUACAGUUCUGUAAUAAUUGUCUCACUAAUCCUACUUUGUAGACAGGGGUUGAUUUGACCAAAGACAACAUGGCACUUCAGAGGGUUCGGGAAGCUGCUGAGAAGGCUAAAUGUGAGCUCUCCUCAUCUGUACAGACUGACAUCAACUUGCCAUACCUUACAAUGGAUGCUUCUGGACCAAAGCAUUUGAAUAUGAAGUUGACUCGAGCUCAGUUUGAAGGCAUUGUCACAGAUCUAAUCAAGAGAACUAUUGCUCCGUGUCAGAAAGCUAUGCAGGAUGCAGAAGUCAGCAAGAGUGACAUAGGAGAAGUGAUCCUGGUUGGUGGCAUGACGAGGAUGCCCAAGGUAUGGACUCAUGGUAUUCCUCAUAGAGGAAUGAAUACAUAAUUACAUUCCUGGGACAAAUGGGAUAUGUUGUGUGUGGACAGGAAUAUGAUCCAUUCUACUAGUGUUCUUUAAAGGGUGGUAAGACCAGACUCACCAAAAAGUGCUUUUAGUUGCCUGUGAGGGCUCAUGCCUGUGUAAUCUUAGCACUUGAGGAUAAAGCAGGAGGAUGGCCUUGCAUUCUAGGUAAGAUGCAACUACAUACAGAAUUAUAUCUUGCAUACAAAUCCCUC
rnacentral:lncRNA from 1 species